AGCAGGCUGCAUCGCCUUUGUGCGGAGGCAGGCGGAGGAGCUGACACCGGCCAAGAGCAGAACCAGUAGGAGUGAGUUGGAGAAGCGAGGUUUACAAAUUUUUCUAAGGAGGACUGUUGAUUGGAACAAAAAGGAGAUUGUGAGCCAGGUGAUUUCAACUGGAGUGAUGGCGAUCAAUUGAUCAGUAGGAGAACUGAAAGAUCAGAGGAAACUGAAAGACAAAGUUCAAGCGCAGGAUGUCCCCGCCAAACCUGGACGCUUGUCACCGGGAGUCAAGGCAGCUGAAGGCCGCGGGGCCGAGGGUGUGCCCAGCUCCCGGUACUCUCGGGCUUGAAAUUUUAAGCAAGACUGGAGCGGGAGAUGCCGCAGACCACUGAGCCAAGGAGAGAAUGAGAGCAGAAUUAUUUGAAUCGUAAGCUCGGGGCCAGAAGAACCACGAGAGUAACUCUGAACAGAUGAAAACUGACCAUCUUGGACAAUGGAACGAAGAAGCAGCCAGAGAGGCGCCAGAAUUUAGCGCGUGCAACUGCGGUGCAGAUGCCGCAGGCAAGGCCUUCCCAGAGAGUCAUCUUGCAGAUAGCUGUCCUAGGUCCCCGUGGUGGCAACUUACUAAAGUCACUGUCGAAGGCUUGCCUCUUCUCCUGGGGGGGGGGGGGCAGGGGAGGGGACGCUCCGCGAGCAGAAUUCCAACUCCCAGAAGAGAGCCAAAAGUCAAGACAAGUAGCCCCACGAGGAAUACGCUUCAGAGAGCCUUUCUUCUUUCCUCUUUUCUUUUCCAAACGAAAUCUAAUACUAUCUGGCUGCAAAAAUAUAUAUCACCGGCUCUGAGUCUGAAAGAUUAACAUUGGGAUACGUAGGAAAUGUAAUCUGCAUGGCUAAUUGAUUCUCAGCGUAUCAGUUUAAAGGAUAAAGAUCGAUAUCUGCAUAUGAUGGAUACUGUAUUAAUAGGGACAUAAAUAAAGGCCGAAGAGUCGUUACUGGAA
rnacentral:lncRNA from 1 species